rnacentral:rRNA from 1 species
GACAGAGGGUGCAAACGUUGUUCGGAAUUACUGGGCGUAAAGCGUGCGCAGGCGGCGCGUUAAGACAGGUGUGAAAGCCCCGAGCUUAACUUGGGAAUUGCGCUUGUGACUGGCGUGCUGGAGUGUGGCAGAGGGAGGUGGAAUUCCACGUGUAGCAGUGAAAUGCGUAGAGAUGUGGAGGAACACCGAUGGCGAAGGCAGCCUCCUGGGCCAGCACUGACGCCUCAUGCACGAAAGCGUGGGGAGCAAACAGG